rnacentral:hammerhead_ribozyme from 1 species
AUCCAGCUGACGAGUCCCAAAUAGGACGAAACGCGCGUCCUG